GAGGCGACCGCUGUGGGAGUCCGAUUAAGCCAUGCGAGUCGAGAGUCUUAGGGACUCGGCAUACCGCUCAGUAACACGUGGAUAACCUGCCCUGUGCUGGGGGAUAACCUCGCGAAAGUGAGAACAAUACCCCAUGAGUCACUACGCCUGGAACGGUGAGUGGCUGAAAGCUCCGGCGGCACAGGAUGGGUCUGCGGCGUAUCGGGUUGUAGGGGGUGUAACGGACCUCCUAGCCUUCAACGCGUACGGGUUGUGAGAGCAAUUGCCCGGAGAUGGAUUCUGAGACACGAAUCCAGGCCCUACGGGGCGCAGCAGGCGCGAAAACUUGACAAUGCGAGAAAUCGUGAUCAGGGGACUCCAGUUGGCUGGAUCAAAAGUCCAGUCUGAACCGACUUUAAAUCGGUCGGGUAAUAGGGGCGGGAAAGACCGGUGCCAGCCGCCGCGGUAAUACCGGCGCCCCAAGUGGUCGUCACUAUUAUUGGGCCUAAAACGUCCGUAGCCGGUUUGGUAAAUCCGUGGGUAAAUCAGACAGCCCAACUGUCUGAAUUCUGCGGGGACUGCCAGACUUGAGACCGGGAGAGGUACGGGGUACCUCCGGGGUAGCGGUAAAAUGCGAUCAUCCCGGAGGGACCACCUGUUGCGAAGGCGCCGUACUAGAACGGAUCUGACGGUCAGGGACGAAGCCUAGGGGCACGAACCGGAUUAGAUACCCGGGUAGUCCUAGGUGUAAACGCUGUGGACUUGGUGUCGGGGACUCUCAGCGAGUUCUCGGUGCCGGAGUGAAGAUGUUAAGUCCACUGCCUGGGGAGUACGGUCGCAAGGCUGAAACUUAAAGGAAUUGGCGGGGGGAGCACCGCAACGAGAGGAGCGUGCGGUUUAAUUGGAGUCAACGC
rnacentral:rRNA from 1 species